AGUGAACGCUGGCGGUAGGCCUAACACAUGCAAGUCGAACGGCAGCACAGUAAGAGCUUGUUCUUACGGGUGGCGAGUGGCGGACGGGUGAGGAAUACAUCGGAAUCUACUUUUUCGUGGGGGAUAACGUAGGGAAACUUACGCUAAUACCGCAUACGACCUACGGGUGAAAGCAGGGGAUCUUCGGACCUUGCGCGAUUGAAUGAGCCGAUGUCGGAUUAGCUGGUUGGCGGGGUAAUGGCCCACCAAGGCGACGAUCCGUAGCUGGUCUGAGAGGAUGAUCAGCCACACUGGAACUGAGACACGGUCCAGACUCCUACGGGAGGCAGCAGUGGGGAAUAUUGGACAAUGGGCGCAAGCCUGAUCCAGCCAUACCGCGUGGGUGAAGAAGGCCUUCGGGUUGUAAAGCCCUUUUGUUGGGAAAGAAAAGCAGCAGGUUAAUACCCCGCUGUUCUGACGGUACCCAAAGAAUAAGCACCGGCUAACUUCGUG
rnacentral:rRNA from 1 species